CCUACGGGAGGCAGCAGUGGGGAAUAUUGCACAAUGGGGGGAACACUGAUGCAGCGACGCCGCGUGAGUGAAGAAGUAUCUGGGUACGGAAAGCUCUAUCAGUCGGGAAGAAAAUGACGGUACCUGACUAAGAAGCCCCGGCUAAAUACGGGACAGCAGCCGCGGUAAUGCGGAGGGGGCAAGCGUUAUCCGGAUUUACUGGGUGUAAAGGGGGCGUAGGCGGCAGCACAAGUCUGGAGUGAAAUCCCGGGGGUUAACCCCGGAACUGCUUGCGAAACUGGGCGGCUGGAGUGCAGGAGGGGUAAGCGGAAUUCCUAGUGUAGCGGUGAAAUGCGUAGAUAUUAGGAGGAACACCGGUGGCGAAGGCGGCUUACUGGA
rnacentral:rRNA from 1 species